CAGUCGCCGCGGUAAUACGUAGGUGGCAAGCGUUGUCCGGAAUUAUUGGGCGUAAAGCGCGCGCAGGUGGUUUAAUAAGUCUGAUGUGAAAGCCCCCGGCUCAACCGGGGAGGGUCAUUGGAAACUGGGAAACUUGAGUGCAGAAGAGGAGAGUGGGAUUCCACGUGUAGCGGUGAAAUGCGUAGAGAUGUGGAGGAACACCAGUGGCGAAGGCGACUCUCUGGUCUGUAACUGACGCUGAGGAGCGAAAGCGUGGGGAGCGAACAGGAUUAGAUACCCCUGUAGUCCCUGUCUCUUAUAA
rnacentral:rRNA from 1 species